rnacentral:rRNA from 1 species
GAUGAACGCUGGCGGUCUGCUUAACACAUGCAAGUCGAACGGGUUUAUUUCCUUAGGGGGAUAAAUUAGUGGCGGACGGGUGAGUAACGCGUGAGAAUUUACCUUUAGGACGGAGAUAACAGAUGGAAACAUCUGCUAAUCCCCGAUGAUCCAGCUUGCUGGUAAAAAGAUUAAUCGCCUAGAGAUGAGCUCGCGUCCGAUUAGCUAGUUGGUGGAGUAAAAGUUCACCAAGGCGACGAUCGGUAGCCGGUCUGAGAGGACGACCGGCCACACUGGGACUGAGACACGGCCCAGACUCCUACGGGAGGCAGCAGUGGGAAUUUUCCGCAAUGGGCGCAAGCCUGACGGAGCAAGACCGCGUGGGGGAGGAAUGCCUUAGGGUUGUAAACCCC